rnacentral:rRNA from 1 species
CCCUUUGAUGUUCUGGGCUGCACACGUGCUACACUGGCAGGUUCAGCGAGCUUCAUGCCCUGAUCUGAAAGGAAUGGGAAAUCUUUUCAAAACCUGCCGUGCUUGGGAUAGAUGUUUGCAAUUAUUCAUCUUCAACGAGGAUUGCCUUGUAAGCGCACGUCAUCAGCGUGCAUUGAAUACGACCCUGUAUUCUGUACACACCGCCCGUCGCUCCUACCGAUUGAAGUUUUCGGUGAGUUGACAGGAGGAUUUUUUUGAAACUGGUUCGCCAGUGGAUUUUAGAUCCAAAUGCCAACGAAUCGAUGGCUUUAGAGGAAGGAGAAGUCGUAACA